UUCAGUUUACUUUUUAUAAUUUUCGCAGUUAUUAUCUUAAAUCCAAUUGAACACUCGACACUUGAGCUUAUGCCAAGAACUUGGCUAAGAAAAGAUUUUUGGCAAAGUGGUAAAUUGUGCUGUUACGGACAGAAUCCGGCCUCUCCCGCCUCUUGGGCCGUCGCCAAAUUGUGCAAAGUUGCGAACUUUAUACGAAUUAAUUUGUUCAACUUUUGCUGAUAUAUGGAAUAGAAACGGGGAGGGCAACCCUUCGGGCCGGUGCGAUGCUGAGAUGCCCACCCACAAUGGCCGACCCGGGGUGGAGAACGGGGAUCGGGAUCGGGAACGGGAACGGGAACUCAACGACAUGCGACACAAUUAAGCAUUCAUGGACCAAGGGCUCCGGUAAGCUUAAAUUUUGACAUUUAGUUGUUUGUUUUGGGUCGCAGGGACAGGGCGACAGAUAUGGGCGGUCGGACCGUAAUCAGACACACGUCCUGUGCCUUUUUGUUGAUCCUGGCGACCAUUUUAUAAUGUGUAUAUAGCAGCUUAGUGCACCCCGGAGACCCAUUGCCGCCGGCACUAAACAAUUUUAUCAUUUUUAAUCAUCAAAGUGGAUAUGGCAGCCCUGCCCCUUUGCGACGACACACAGUCGGAUUAAAAACUCAUAUUAAGUUAUUAUCGGACUGCCAGAUAUUAAAACGGUAGCUGGGUACAGUCCAAAGCUCGCGUCGAUUUGCGACAAACAGUUGAACAUUUCAUGAAUAUCCGGUGAAUGCCUUGAACUCUGACUGCACUCACUUUAGCGCUCGGUGUCUGUUUAAAGGCAUUGUCGCUGCCAAAUAAAAAUUCAUUUGCCAGCGGAGAGAAAAUAUCUCAGCGUAUGUAUAAAACAUUGUCUGCCCGGGACGAUGGGCACGACUCGGCACUUGGAACAAAGGAUUGCUGCCAAAUUGGUCUUGGCCAGGCAGCUGAGCUCUGUACACUCGGCCACGGCAGUGGGGCUGGGGGCCAGCGCUCAUGGUUAAUGCAUGAUUUAAUGUAAUUUGGACGUUUGCACGCAUUCGCCAGUCGCCAUCAUGGUUGUUGUUGCUUUUGGCUUGGGCAGCCAAUUUGGCAGCGCAUCAACACGCCAUUUGGGAACCAGCGUCAGAGCCAAAGAGACGGAGACGGAGAUGAAACUGUAGCUGGAAUUUGGCGCAGGUGCGGCGGUGUGUUCGGUGCCAAGUCACUGUCUCAGCUGGGGCAUUGCGCAAAUUUCCAUUAAUGGUUACAUCCUUGGUGGCAAAUUGGAAUCAGUUUCAGCGGCACAUAACUCAGGCCAGACGGCUACUUAAAUGCCGUUUAUAGCGUUGCGCUGCCUGAGUAGAGAUGCCUCCACUUCGAUUGUUCGUGCCCCGCACUGCCUCGCCCCACCCCCAUCCAUAAAAUUCCGCAAGGGCUCAUGUGCAUUAAAGGGCCAUUGUUAUGCCCAUAGCACGGAUAAGCUAAUUUGUUAGGCUAUUGCCUGAAGCUGGAAAUUACCUAAGCAAUGUUGAGUGCUGAGCGAUGUUCCAAAUAUUCAUUAUUUACACCCCGCAGUAAACCAAGUUUGAGCAUAGUUUACCAUGCAAAAACGUACGAUUACAUUUAA